UACGUAGGAGGCAAGCGUUGUCCGGAAUUACUGGGCGUAAAGGGCGCGCAGGCGGCGCAUUUUGUCAGGCGUGAAAGCCCCGGGCUUAACCUGGGAACUGCGUUUGAUACGGAUGGGCUAGAGUUCGGGAGAGGAGAGUGGAAUUCCCAGUGUAGAGGUGAAAUUCGUAGAUAUUGGGAAGAACACCGGUGGCGAAGGCGGCUCUCUGGACCGAGACUGACGCUGAGGCGCGAAAGCGUGGGGAGCAAACAGG
rnacentral:rRNA from 1 species